rnacentral:miRNA from 1 species
UAGUCUAGUGUACAGUUCAUGG